CCGGGAAAUCAGAUCUGCUGGCUUCUCAGAAAAUGUCCAGGAUGAACAUCCCAGCACUGAAGCCAGAUGUUCACAGCUGGGCAGCACUCCCCACUCCCACCCCCCCCCCCCCCAACCAACCCAGGCCUAUCCCUUCCCAGCGCUUCCAACAGGGACUUCAGGCCCCAGGGGAAGGGGCCGAGCUAGGGAUUUUCAAAGCCCUGUCAGUCAGACCCAAGCAGGAAAGGGAGCCAAGGCUCCCCUCGGGUCCCAAUGCCCCCCAGGUCACCCUGGAGCGGGGGUGUGUGAGAAAGCUCCCUGCGGGGCAGCCUCCCAGCCAGCCCUGCCCCGGGGGACCCUCUGCCGCCACCCUUCCUCCCCCAGAGGACCAAUGUGAGAUCCAGUUGGGGAAGCUGGCUGCCAUGUUGUAGGCUGCCCUGUGGAGAGGCCCAUGUGGCAGAGGGAGACUCUGGCCAACCAUCAGAGAAGAACUGAGCCUCUUGGCCCGAUAGCCCAUGAGAAACUGAAUCCUGUCAACAACCAAGUAAGUGAGCCUGGAAGUAGACGCUGCCCCAGUAGACACCACAGCCUUGGCCGACGCCUGGACUGUGGCCGGUGAGAGACUCUGAGCCAGAAGAUUCAGCCAAGCUGCACCUGGAUUCUCAACCCACAGAAAAAGUGAGACACAAUUGCUACUUGUGCAUCUUGCUCCCGGCCCAGAGCCUUGCCCCAUGCAGAUGUUCAGUAAUGGGGAAAGGAACGAAGAGGCAGCCAGAGGGACAAUGCCAUAGCUCAGAAAAGCCACAGGUUGGCAGGGGUGUUGCUUAGGAGUGAGGAGGCAGGCCUACCCCAAUCCCAGGUGGUCCAGAGGCUACCAUCCCCUCUUAGCAGGAACUGAGGCUCUGUUCUCCCACCUCUUCAGGAGGAUGCUGGUCAGAGCCCAGGAUCUGGUAUCUUGCGGUCUGGGACCUAACAAAUUUAGUUUCCUGUUCCUGUUCCAGAUCAUACCUUCUGGAUUUCUUCUGCCCUCCGGACUUCAGGCCUAUUUCUCUUUAUUUGGUAUGCCUCAGUAGAAUGAUCUGAUUUUUAUACCCAUGUCAGACUUCUCACAAAAAUAAUUUAAUAGAUAAGAAAAGAAUCCUUUUUCAGCUCACGUGGCUCACUUUUUGUUUGGAAAACAGUCCCUGUGCCCAUAAAAAGGAAAGGGUCGCCAAGCCCAGUCUCCUCCCAGCCCUGUUCCCACCAGGUCACAGGCAGAGUGCGGGGCUGGGAGGCUGGGGAACCUUCCAGGAAAAACAUCAGGCCUGAGUUGGAACCCAGUUGUCCAAUCUGGGUCUGGCGAGGGACUGGCCCUGUGCCCACCUAGACUGGCCCAUUUCCUCCUAGACUAGGGCAAGUUUCCUGCCCAGAGGGAACAAGCACAUUCCCAGGCAGAGGGAGGCUGGGUCCUGUACUGGGGGAGGGGCAUCCACAGGCACUUCCCCACCUCAGCUACUGAGUCUGCAAUGUGCCUCCUGGGAGCAGGAUGGAGAGCAGGGGAUCAGAAGUUGGGCUCAAGCUUCUGAGUUCAAGGAAUGAGCUGGAACCACUGUCCAGCCUUGGGGCCAGUCGGUCCCUGGAUCUCCGGUGCACCCAGGACAGGGAGUAGAAUCCUAGGCUGGACUCUGUCUGCUCCAAAGCAGUAGCCUUUGGGUGACCAAAGGCCUCAUGGUGGCCUUUGCUGAAAAGUUCCAUCAGAACCUGGAAUCCUCCAAGAAACUUCUCCAGGUCCCGCCUCCUCCCAGGUGCUUCCCCUGCCU